rnacentral:lncRNA from 1 species
CUGAACCCUUGUGUGGCCAUGUAUACAAGACCCUAGUUAGGGAACAUAUGUUAAUACUACCUUUGAACAGUCAGGAUUCAGCCGCCAUUGAACUUAUAUCACUGGGCAGGAGUGAAAACAGAGUUCAUCUGCAGCUGAUUUGGCAGGGACCAGGCCUUCUGCAAUGACUUGAAAAUGUUCAGAAAUUAAGUUUCAUAGUCCACAGAAGUCCUGGAUCCCGGUAUGAGAGUCAAAACCUGCUAUGAAUUGGGUCAAAGUCCAGGAGUCACAAUCUCAGCAAUGGUAAAGAUCCAUGUAUAAGAGCUGCAAUCACACUUGAAGUCUGCAUUCCAGUAGAAGAGCCAAAGCACUACAAGUCUGCUGAAUCACAAUUCAUAUGUCACCAAACAACCUGUGGGUCAGAUUUAUGUAUGAGAGUAAAAAAUUUAAGCUUCAACUGCUUAUGUGUGUGUGAGAUUUAGUACCUCAUUCAUAGGUUCUGCUUAUGUGUGUGAAUGACAAUUGUGUCAGCUAGCAUGUGCAUCCAAGAGUCAAAAUAGUAAAUGGUUG